GCGAUAAUACGGGAGGGUCCGGGGCGUUUUUCCGGAUUUUUUGGGUUUAAAAGGGAGGGGUGGGCCGAGGAUAAAGCGUGUUUGAAAUUGUAGCGGUUCAAAGUCUGCCUGGCAGCGCGAACUGGUUUCUUUGAGUACGCACAAAGUGGGCGGAAUUCGUGGGUAGCGGGUGAAAUUGCUUAGAUAUCACGAAGAACUCCGAAUGGAAAGGCAAGCUCACUGGAGCGCAACCUGACGCUGAAGCUCGAAAGUGCGGGUAUCGAACAGGAUUAGAUACCCUGGUAGUCCGCACGGUAAACGAUGGAUGCCCGCUGUUGGUCUGAAUAGGUCAGCGGCCAAGCGAAAGCAUUAAGCAUCCCACCUGGGGAGUACGCCGGCAACGGUGAAACUCAAAGGAAUUGACGGGGGCCCGCACAAGCGGAGGAACAUGUGGUUUAAUUCGAUGAUACGCGAGGAACCUUACCCGGGCUUGAAUUGCAGAGGAAGGAUUUGGAGACAAUGACGCCCUUCGGGGUCUCUGUGAAGGUGCUGCAUGGUUGUCGUCAGCUCGUGCCGUGAGGUGUCGGCUUAAGUGCCAUAACGAGCGCAACCCCUCUCCUUAGUUGCCAUCAGUUGAAGCUGGGCACUCUGGGGACACUGCCACCGUAAGGUGUGAGGAAGGUGGGGAUGACGUCAAAUCAGCACGGCCCUUACGUCCGGGGCUACACACGUGUUACAAUGGCAGGUACAGAGAGAUGGUCCUUUGCAAAACGGAUCAAAUCCUUAAAGCCUGUCUCAGUUCGGACUGGGGUCUGCAACCCGACCCCACGAAGCUGGAUUCGCUAGUAAUCGCGCAUCAGCCAUGGCGCGGUGAAUACGUUCCCGGGCCUUGCACACACCGCCCGUCAAG
rnacentral:rRNA from 1 species